rnacentral:rRNA from 1 species
GACGAACGCUGGCGGCGUGCUUAACACAUGCAAGUCGAACGAAGUGGCGAACGGGUGAGUAACGCGUAAUCAACCUGCCCUUCCGAGGGGGAUAACAGUUGGAAACGACUGCUAAUACCGCAUACUGAAGGAGGGGAUUGCGUCUGGUCAGCUAGUUGGAGGGGUACCGGCCCACCAAGGCGAUGAUCAGUUGCCGGUCUGAGAGGAUGAACGGCCACAGUGGGAGUGAGAGACGGCCCAGACCCCUACGGUAGGCAGCAGUGGGGAACCUGCCGCAAUCGACGAAAGUCUGACGGAGCAACGCCGCGUGAUUGAUGACGGCCGUAGGGUUGUAAAGAUCUGUUAAUCGGGACGCGGUACCGGAAUAGAAAGCCACGGCUAACUACGUGCCAGCAGCCGCGGUAAUAC